CCUGUUUAGGAUGUCUCUAGACCACAUUACCUAAUGAUAGUUAACCUGGUUAGGAUGCCUCUAGGAUUGACCCAAAUAACAUACAGAGUAAACCAGGUUAGGCUGUCUCUAGACCCACAUGCAGCUGUGGAACUGACUCUAAGCCCUGAGGGGUCGGGUUGCUCUCGUGGGCCCCAGCCACCACCUCUCAGGCCUACAACUGCGGGGUCCUCGACCUCCAGGUAGUCCGCAGCAGAGAUAUAACACUUUAUUUUUUGCCAGAUUAUCAUAGUUAAAAGCAUACUGUAAGCUCACUCCACAAAGGACAACACACAUCAAUCUUAACGCAGCGUCUUAAAGCUCCUCAGGUAGUCAAAACCAUGGAUAGCAAUGCCCAUCAACCAUUCAUCGCCGGAAGCACCUAAAGCACCUGUUAGGCACACAAAUAGACGUAGAUUCAUAGAUGUUCAUGUGAACAAGACAGCGUGUAAGAAACAGUUUAAGCACAACACAGAACGUAGGCUAUACUUUCUUCCCUCCGUGCUGAUAGGUGAUGGUCAAGAGGGCCUGUAAUAACAUUGACUUAUUUCCACUAAAUAAAGACCUAUUAAUAAAGAACAAAAGACAAUUCACUCACCAGGUUGUCUCUGCUCAGCCGAUUUAGCCAUGUUGUAUUGUAAUGUUAUACAUUUAUUAAUUCCGUGCACUCCAUAGAACAAAGUAAAAUCCCCAAAAGUUGACAAAUAAACUAUUUACAAAUCAAGGUCCCAAUUUAAAAUGGCAUCUUCCUCUGCUUCAUGUGGGCAAACCUGCCAACCACUUUGGCUUUGUAAAUGUCACGCUCGAUACAAAGCAAAGUGAGUCUGGAUUGCUAGGCCUCAUCCAUACAUGCACGUAAAUUGCUCUUGAUGUGUUUCAGCCAGCUGAAAACUCACUCGGCACUGGCAAUGCUGAUGUGGAUGGGUUUGUAUAUUCUAUGUAGAAUCGUAAGUAAAGAAAAAACAAAGUAGUAAGUGGAACACUGGAUAUACCCCAUCGCCCUGGUGUCUGUACCCAUCACCCCCGUGUCUAUACCGAUCACCCUCGUGUCUGUACCCAUCACCCCUGUGUCUACACCAAUCAUCCCUGUAUAUAUACCCCAUCGCCCUGGUGUCUAUACCCAUACUCUCGUGUCCGUACCCAUGACCCCUGUGUCUAUACCCAUCACCCUUGUGUCUGUACCAAUCACCCUCGUGUCUGUACCCAUCACCCCUGUGUCUGUACCCAUCACCCCUGUGUCUAUACCCAUCACCCCCGUGUCUGUACCCAUCACCCCCGUGUCUGUACCCAUCACCCCCGUGUCUGUACCCAUCACCCCCGUGCCUAUACCCCAUCACUCCUGUGUCUGUACCCAUCACCCCUGUGUCUGUACCCAUCACCCCUGUGUCUUUACCCAUGACCCCCGUGUCUAAACUCAUCACCCCCGUGCCUAUGCCCCAUCCCACCUAUGCUAUUUCCGCUUCUGUCUACAUGACUUAUGACAGUUAACCUUGUUUGGAUGUCUCUAGACCACAAUACAUACAUUUAACCAGGUUAGGAUGUCUCUAGGCCUACAUGACAUAUGCAGUAAACCAGCUUAGGAUGCCUCUAGUCCCACAUGACAUAUACGGUAAACCAGGUUAAGAUGUCUCUAGACCCACAUGUCAUAUACAAUAAAACAGGUUAGCAUUUCUCUGCUAUAGACAGUAGUUCCAUUGUUUUGAAGGCUUCCAAAUUCUAGUGUAUAUUAUUUUUCAGGCACUUUUUCUGUGUUUAGUAUCAGUCUCUUAUACUACCCUGACUGACACAACCUACGAGACUCGCUGGUCUGGACAAGAGCCUACCUACUAACCGCAAUAAUGUUUUGAUUGGUUCUUAUUUACAAGUUACUUGCUUAUCUUCCUCAUCAGUUCUCUACACCACAUAUUUUGGAAUUAACAGUGGGACGGUGCUUUAGUAAAGCAUUGACCGCAAUUUCUUCAAUUUUAAAUGGGGAUAUCCAACCAGCGGUGCGCAUUGCCUUCAUUAUCAAUGGCUAGAUUAUAUGAAUUAAAAAGACAAUGAUGAGGAUUUUUACUCUGUAACCCUUUGGACUCCUACACAAAGAAGCUGAUCUGACACCGGGUCAAUACGAUGUCACAAGUACCCCUUCCAAUAUGCACACUGUCUUUCCAUACUUGCUGAUAUCUAUGAAUUGUUCUCAACUAGGCCUGCUCUAAGAAUGUUUAUGUCAGUCAGUCAAAUAUGCUAAAGGUUAACUGUCCUGAACAGAAAAUAUAUACACAACAUGUAAUGUUGGUCCACUAUUUCAAGGGUUGAAAUAGAAGAUCGCAAAAUGUUUUCACACACAUAGAAAGUUCUCUCAGAUUUUGAAUGCAAAUUUGUUUAAAUCCCAGUUAGUCUGCAUUUCCCUUUUCCUUUCAAAUGUUUGCAUGUUGUUUUUAUAUUUGGUCAGUAUGUUUGUUAAAACUUUUUAAUACUCUUUCAUGUAUUUUGGGGUGGAAUGUGUUGAUACUAAUGCCUCUACAGUAAUAUUACUACUGUGGAUAUGGGUGGUUUACUGUACAAAUCAAUUGUAAAAUUAUGUGAUUGCUCUUUCUGUGUAAUAGUACAGGAUGCAAAAAUCAAAGAAUGUAUUUGUAAUGUAUAGAAAAGAUUUUCAAGAAAAGUUAGCUAAUUUUAAACUUUAAAACAUAAAAUCUUGAAACCCCAGCACUGAUAUGAAUUGUUAGCAAAACAGCCAGCUGCAAAAAUGUAGUAAAAUGAACUGGUGCUUUUUUUCAAAUGGUAUAGCAUAAGCUAUCUGUGUUUAUAAGUGAUGGCACUAUGAUCAUUUAGACCUUGCCAUGUUUCCAGUCUUUUAAUUAAAGGUCCUCUGGUUUUGUAAAUCUGUACAUCUUUUAAAAGGUCCUCUGAUUCUCUAACUCUUAAGGCUUUGAUUAUUCUCUGUCAACUUGUUAAGGCUUUUAUUAAUUCCAAACUGCCUUAGCAAUGUUAGCACAGUGUCUUCAAUUGCAUAAUCCAUACACUUAUUUAGAAAAAUCAAAGCUUACUUAAAAGGGGGGGGUCACCAUAUUUUCAGUUGCUGUAUGUUUUCACCCAAGACCAGUUUGUGAUUCAACCAGGAGCUACUGCCUAAAUACUGUUAUGUGGCUUUAAAUGAAUAGAGCUCUACAAUUUUAAACCUGGAGAGUGAACAGGUGUUUUAUGACAUGUCAAUUUGUCUUUUACCUGUUGUUUUACUCCAACUCUGUAUAUUUGAGUGUAAAUACAUUCACUACAUGAGUCGGUUGGUGUCUUAGCACACAACUUAACAGCAGCAUGUUUUUGUCAUAGCUGGGCCCUUUCCUCCCACCUUCUAUUGUUCCUUUUUCUUCUCUACCCUCUUUGCAUUGUAAUGGUAUUAAGUGUUGUAUUAGUAUACCCACUAGCUGCAACUGAGGCAGUGGCUACUCCUUCUGGAAAUAGUCAUCUGACAUUUUAGAGUAGAAAGGACUGGAAACCAACAUGGAAUGGAAUACAGAACAUGCACAGUAGGUUCACAGUAUGUCAAAUGAUAAACACAUUUGUAAACUGUACGUCAAUGCCUGUAUUAGCACUUUUUCCUGGAAGAUUAAGGUAUUAAAAAU
ensembl:lncRNA